CAGCCGCCGCGGUAAUACAGAGGGUGCGAGCGUUAAUCGGAUUUACUGGGCGUAAAGCGUGCGUAGGCGGCUAAUUGAGUCGGAUGUGAAAUCCCCGAGCUUAACUUGGGAAUUGCAUUCGAUACUGGUUAGCUAGAGUGUGGGAGAGGAUGGUAGAAUUCCAGGUGUAGCGGUGAAAUGCGUAGAGAUCUGGAGGAAUACCGAUGGCGAAGGCGGCCCCCUGGACAAAGACUGACGCUCAGGUGCGAAAGCGUGGGGAGCAAACAGGAUUAGAUACCCGCGUAGUCCCUGUCUCUUAUAC
rnacentral:rRNA from 1 species